UGAUCCGCGGUUCUUCGCCAAAACGACCACCCUCAUAUUUUGGACUUCCUCUCCUUCACAUUCAAAAAGCCUGAACCUCAGCUUCUUCACCUUAAACACAAAGCAGCCAUAGCCACUGACCAAAAAUUAGAUCCCUUCCCCCUUAAGCCAGCGCCGUUUCCCCAUUCGUCUUCCUCAUUUCUUGCUGAACCAGAAACAGAACCUCUCUCUUUAGCAGGAAAGAGACAGCCGCACCCCCCCCUCCACCCACCAACAAAAGGCCUUCUUCUUCCUCCAUGAAAGUCUAGCCAUGAACACCCAGAAAAGGUCUCAAAUUACAGCUCCAAAAUACCUUUAAACCAGUCAAAAAACCUUAAACCAAUCCUCAUUUUCAGGGUCGAGUUCGUCGUGUGGUUAUGUUUCGAGUUGAGGUUUUCCGUUAGAGCUCCGACAAAAUUCCUGUUGGUAGAGUUCGGUUGUCGUUCAUUUUAGCCAUUGCUGUACGAAUAAUUGCUUGGAUUUUUUCUGAUAAUUAAAGUUUGGCAGAGGCAAGCUCAAAGGUUAUAUAUGACCAGAGAAGGUUAUGGAGUACUUUUGGGAUCAAAUAUGAAGAACAAGAGGCCGAUCGUAAAAUUUCGUCAAGUAAACCACGCAAAACAGCUCAAGUCAGAACUGAAAGAGGACUGCCGCGGUUCCACUGCGACCGCGGCAGAACCGCGGUAGAAGAUGGCUGCAGACAAAGUGAGAAUCAGAGAGCGUGUUUGGCCACGGUUUGACCGCGACCGCGGCAGAACCGUGGCAGAGGCGGAGAACUUCAGGGACUAAAGUGCAAAACACGGGAUUUUUAGCCCCAAACCCUAUUUUAAACAUUAGACUUUGCCCAAGAGAGACAUGUAUUGAUUUGGAGAGUAUUUUGGCAAGGAAAAACAAUUGUGAGAGAUCACCCAAAACAUCUUUCUUCUUUUCUUUGAUUUUUCUUGCAAGUUUUAUGAUGAA